GCAGCAGAACACAACAGACACUAGUAUGGCAAUAUGUAAAUCAAUGGAUGUGUAACUGAUGUGAUUCUGCAAUCUGUAUAUGGGGUAAAAAUGGGAGCUCAUAACCCACUUGAAUCAAAGUGUGAAAUAUGAUAUAUCAAGAACUAUGUAAUGUUUUGAACAGCCAACAAUAAAAAAUUUAAAAAAAAUAAUUGAACAAAAUUGUGGGUCACAUUUUUGCUUGUGGCCGUGACCAUCAAGAUUAAAGGCAGGAGAGGUCACGUGUGUGUUUAAGAAAUGUGUUGGCCUAACACCUCGUGUGUGUUCAGUGCUGCUUGGCUUCCGUAUGGGUACCACACGCUUGGCAGGGAUGCCCAAGAGUAUACGGUGCCUUCUCUGUUUUCUAUGCGUUAAUAACACAAGUGGGGACAGAAGAGAGUUUGGCUAGACUUUGAAUGAGGAGUAGGAUCUGGGUACAGAAGAAGAAAGUAGGAGGGAUGUGGGCCCCGCAAAGCCUUGGGGUGACCCCACCUGUGGUCCAGUGAGGAGGUGAGGGCUGGUCAGAGUAGAAGCGGGGAGUAGGAGGGGAUGUCGCCUGGUAGGUUGUGAGAGACCCUAAGGCCCAGAUACUGAACUGGCGCUUUGUCGUGCGGGCAAGGAGGAACAAGAAAUAUGUCAGAGCACGUGCAAGAGCGAGGACUAACACCCGCCCUGGGAGGGACGACCUCCUACUCUGACCUUUGGCAGACAGCCAGUAAAGGAGGCGGAGGGAAGUGUCGUGCUGGGAUUAAGCCCUGGAGGGCAGAGUGCCAUGGAAAUCAGAAAGGGACAUCGGGAGGAUGGGGGCGGGGUUACCAAGCUGUGAAAGGUCUCAGAUUUGAAGGUGCAUGAGAAGCGGUGUCCCUGGCUGAGGUCAGGCAGGUGGGCCUGACCCGGCCUGUCAGGAAGGAAUGGGUGCUGGGGAGCCCAAUGGCAGGUGGAGGUGACUGAGCCACAGACAACCCAUUUUGACUCAAGGCCUUGACCCACAGGACCUUGUGGGCAUUUUUACAUAGUCUGGGUGACCUUGGCAAGAGCAAAGCCCAUAGAUAGAGAAAGGGGAAUUUAAGAAGCAGCUUCCACAUCCACAGCAGAUGUGAGGGGUCCACAGGCAGCCCGGGCCACGGGAGUGAAAUCCUCUGGGCGCCCUGGCUUCUGGUUGGCUUUCAGAGAAAAUGAACAACAACAGACCCAGAGGGGGGGAAACGAUAGAAUGUGGGACCCCCAGGGUCUUACUAUGUUGCCCAGGCUGUCCUUGAACCUUCGAUCCUCCUGUCUCAGCUUCCUGAGUAGCUGGGAUUGCACGUGCACACCACUGAGCCUGACGAAUUUCCCUCCAGGAUGAAACAGAAGAGACUAAGAAAAGGGGCUGAAUCUCAGCCAAGGACCAGGAAUAAGUGGUGGUGGUGUGAGAGCGUCAGCCACCGAGGAGGCGAAUGGAACAAUCCUUCUUCUCAGGGUCCCCAAAGGAAAACUGAGAUAACUCCCAAUGGCAAACUAGGCAAGCCCAGUUCGUGUGGAACCAGCCCUCCGGUGAAGACUCCUUGUCUUCUUGCCUUAGCGACACUUUGCUGGGAAGGCUCAGGACUCACUGGUUGGGCACCUCAUAAAGCAAGUUGUUGAACUCUCUGGGUUAGAAAAACUGAGGGGCAUGAUGUUCAACGAAGUAUGAAAAAGAAGGGGGUCCCAGUGGCUCAGGAGGCUGAGGCAGGAGGAUUGCAAGUUCAGAGCCAGCCCCAGCAAUUUAGCAAGGCCCUAAGCAACUUAGUGAGACCCUGUCUCUAAAUAAAAAUAAAAAGGCUGAAUAUGUAGCUCAGUGGUUACGCACCUUGGGUCUAAUCCUUAUGUGGGUGUGCACACAUAAAAAGGGGGGGUAAAAUUUAAGAAAACUUUGGGCUGAGAUUUUGGCUCUGUGGUAGAGCACUUGCCUAGCAUGUGUGAAGCACUGGGUUCGAUUCUCAGCACCUCAUAGAAAUAAAUAAAAUAAAGGCCCAUUGACAACUAAAACAUAUUAAAAAAAGAAAGAAAGAAAAGAAAACCUUGGCUUAGCUGGGUACAGUGGCGCACACCUGCAAUCUUAGCAACUUGGGAGGUUGAGGCAGGAGGAUUGCAAAUCUGAGGCCAGCCUCAGCAACUUAGCAAGACCCUGUCUCAAAAUAAAAAAUAAGAAGGGCUGGGGACAUUACUAGUGACACAGUGCCUGCCAAGCGAGUCAUCCUUUUUUGGAAUUAGACUGGAUACCGUUGCCCUCCUUUCCUGGACUUCAUGGAUUUUCAGAAGAUCCUUGCUUUUUAUCAGUAUACCUCUUAAGAGCCUGGCUUCGCAAAGCUCUGGCAUCAUCGGAAGGAGUGGGGCACAGUCUACCGUCAGUGUCCACAUUGCAAGUGCUCUACAACCUGGCACAGAGGUCAACGGCCCCACUACCACAGACUUCCAUGGGAUGGUGCCGCUCUGCUCUGAAGCAAGGGUCAGCAAGCUACACCCCACCAGCCAAAACCAGCUGUUGCCUCUUCUUAUACAGCCUGCGACCAAAGGAUGAUUUUUAGUGUUUGUAUGUGGUUGCAAAAAUUUUGUGGUGAAUGGUUUUCUUUCUUUGUUCUCGAAGUAACUACAAAUAUCCUUGUUUCUGCUUCGUGGUUCAUACCAUCUGAAAUAUUCUCCAGAUCUUUCUAGAAAAUGUUUGCCAACCCCUGGUCUCAAGCAGCUUCAAACUACAUUUGAGGAAACUGAGGCCUAGAGACCGAUGUGACACACACAGCUCAGAAAGGGACAGUUGUCAACUUGGGCCUUUGUUUUACCUGCUCUUUUACUCUGUCCUGACCUCUUUUCUUCUAAGGGUCUCUGUUUUAGUUCAUCCAGCAAAUAACACGAUGGCUUCCUUUUAUGGCAUUGUGAACGAGAGAGGGAGUGAUUGAUUUUUUGAAAAGACAUUGAUUGACGUUCACUUGGAGUCUCUGCAGGGAGAUCCUGCAGGAGGAUCACAGGGUCAGAGCCCAGUGUUUCCAAAGGGCGUCCAGUGUAGACUCCGGGUUCUCCUCUCAUGCAGCUGCAGAUACAGAAGCAACCAGAUGGCGUUAAAAGAUGAUCGACAUCAUUUAGUUUAAAACUCCCGCACUGCCAUCAAACCGCGCUGCCUGUGAUGAUCUAUGCAUUAAUAUUUUUUUAAAAUCCUUUAAAUCUUAUGAUUAGUGUCCUUGAUGUUUCAGUAGAUUCAUGUGGUGAGUUAAAAGCCUUAAUUUGUCAAAUAUAAACACUUUAAAUACACUGCAGUUUUAAUAACCCUGUUGGGCAUUUCCUCAUUUUAACUUUAAUUUAAAAAAAAAAAACGCAGCAACAUCUCGAAAUUUGAAAGUGGCUCGAGUGACCUUGACUGUCUUAAGCGAUGGCACAUUUAAGCAGAUCCUCUGCAGAUGGUUGGGUUGCAGGAAGGAGCCGUACCACCUACAGCCCAUCCCUGUGAUUUGCAAGUUGCGUAUUUACAAAUUUGCCCUACUUUCAGAUUUCUACUUGUAACCCCAGGAUGUGGUCAUGUGGAAGAUCAAGUUGGUCAUGAAGAUCCUUUUGGCUGUGUUACAAGCGUGUGGGUUUGGAUUGGUGGGGGUGGGGGUGGGGCCGCCAUUACUCUCUACCUGGAAAUUACAGUGUGUACCAGGAAGGAAAGAAUUCGUUAAAUCCAGGGUAGAUGGAUAUGAAGGUGAAAAGAGAGCUGCUUGGCUCCUGGGAAGCUGGGCUCAUGAGCAAAUAUCUAAAGGGAAGGAGAUGUAAGGCAAUUUAUCCAUUGAUUGUUCAGGUUUCUUGCUGGGGACCAACAGGGUUUAGACCCAGCAACUGGGCGUAUGCUCAGGUUCUGAGGAUGCGUUCCUUAGGAGGUCUCUUUUUAAAAUUUCUCUUCUUCUUUAAAAGGGGGGAAGUUCCUCGAGGUUAUCGAGAGCACAGGAGCUUCCUUCUGAGCUCCGGAACAUUUGUGAGAAAUGGAACUUGCACGUGUCUAUUUGGAAGCCUUCCUGGAGCCUGCUGUAUCCUAACUCGUCAGUGUCAGCGCUGCCUUCUAACUCUGUGCUGCUUUCUGUGGCAUCUUCUGAAUUAGCAUCAGGUUUUUGUCAAACAUGGAAAUGUUCUCCUAAGGGGGAUGCCGCUUCCUAAAAUCUACAGAGUGUGUGUGCGCGCGCGCAUGUGUGUUCGCCUGAGAUUGUGGAAGGAAACCUUGUGCAAAUCCCAGACAAGCAGAGGUCACCUCUCCAGGACAGAUGGGCCUGAGCUCUGGAAAACUAGGACCCACACCAUCUGACUUGGCAAAAGCAGUAUGUGUGGUGUGAAAGCCCUGACUUCCUCUGCCCCAGCCUACCUGGGCUGGUUCCCUAUGGCAUUAGUAGGACAACCAUCUCCCAGUUGCCCACGCCCUCUUCUCUCACUGACCACAUCCAACGGGAACAUCCCAAUGUCAAGCACUCACCGUAGCCGCUGCCAAAUCCUCGAGAACAUGCCCUCACAUUUUUACUCACCCAUUUUUAAAGUCUCCAAACAUGGCUUCUUUCCCCAGUUCUCUCUCUCUUUUUCCUUUAAAAUGUUCUGGUCUCUUUCUGAUUUAAGACUCUGGAGAUUCCUUGUCACAGUCUGGACAAAGGCCAUGCAACCACCUAUGAUAAAGACUCUAGGGCCUCGUGCAUGCUGAGCACGCGUUCUGCACUUCCCCAGACCCUUGGCCCUGACAACCUCUCUCUUCUUAAUUGUUAACUUACUUAGCAAAGUUUGGUGCUUCGUCUUUUUCUGGUUCUUUUGUCUAGAAUGCUCUUCCUAAGUUCUCUGCUUGGGAAAGUCCCAUUUGGUCUUCAGAUCCGUCUCCAGGGCUUCACUUCUCUUCCAUAGAUGAGAAUAAAAUAUUUAAAGACGAGCGUGAUUGGGUUCUAAGCAAUUAGGACAGAAGCCAUGAAGGGAGUCUGGACAGCCUUGCUUCAGUGUGCUGGGUGCCCACUGUCUGGGUCUACCCCACCCAGCAGAGUGUGCAUAUCCUCCUUUGUGCCACCCAGGUCCUUGUGGAGGUGCACAGUGCCAAUCCUGUAUUCAUUCAACAAGCGUUUCAUAAUUGCCUGCUCUGUUUAGACCCUGGCUAGAUGGUGAUAAGAUGGGAAGGAAUGAGAUGGUGCUUUUGGUCUGCUGUGGUCUCAUCUGACAGCAUUUAAACCGUGUGAUUAUCUUCUAUAGGAGCAUGAGGUCCUUGGAGGGUGGGGACCAACUCUUUUCUCUUAGCUUCCCAGAGAUCUGGCUGGUGCCUGGUACACAAUGUGCUCAGUCAGUGUUUGUGGAACAAGGGCCUCUGACUGGGAUCCACAGCAUCUGGACUCAUUGUUGGGGGUGUCAAGGUGUUAAAUUGAUUCAGGGGGCUGACCAGUCAUGAACCCAAGGGCUCCAACUAAUGGUAGGGGAUGAUGUUUAUUUAUAAAGGGGUAACUUCUAGAAACAGUUUAUUUGCCUCGGCUGUUUCUAAUUCAGCUUUCCCCCCCCUCUUUCUUCUUGUUCUUCUUUGAAUGGAAAAAUGUCACCCACUCACUGGUUUUAUAUAGCUCCCAUUGAAGUAGAACUCAAUGGAAAUCGUGCCUAUUAAUUAGAAACCCAGAAUGUGGGCAGCUUUUGAACUGCUAAUUAAAAACUUACCAAUCA